ACUCCUACGGGAGGCAGCAGUGGGGAAUUUUGGACAAUGGGGGAAACCCUGAUCCAGCCAUGCCGCGUGAGUGAAGAAGGCCUUCGGGUUGUAAAGCUCUUUCAGCCGGAAAGAAAACGCACAGGUUAAUACCUUGUGUGGAUGACGGUACCGGAAGAAGAAGCACCGGCUAACUACGUGCCAGCAGCUGCGGUAAUACGUAGGGUGCGAGCGUUAAUCGGAAUUACUGGGCGUAAAGCGUGCGCAGGCGGUUUCGUAAGACAGAUGUGAAAUCCCCGGGCUUAACCUGGGAACUGCAUUUGUGACUGCGAGACUAGAGUGCGGCAGAGGGGGGUAGAAUUCCACGUGUAGCAGUGAAAUGCGUAGAUAUGUGGAGGAAUACCGAUGGCGAAGGCAGCCCCCUGGGUCGACACUGACGCUCAUGCACGAAAGCGUGGGGAGCAAACAGGAUUAGAUACCCUGGUAGUCCACGCCCUAAACGAUGUCAACUAGGUGUUGGGGGAGGAGACUUCCUUAGUACCGCAGCUAACGCGUGAAGUUGACCGCCUGGGGAGUACGGCCGCAAGGUUGAAACUUAAAUGAAUUGACGGA
rnacentral:rRNA from 1 species